rnacentral:lncRNA from 1 species
CCGCUUCGGUGCGGGCCAGCCUGCGGAUCGGCCUGUGUAUGCUGGUGAACGACUCUGCUCUUGGAGAGCAGCAGAUGGUCUAACAAACUAGACCGUUAAUCCAGCCAAAUUAUGGCAACAGAUGUUUGAAGAUGUUCACAUUCAAAUUCAAACUGUUAGCCCUCUUGGAUGAACCAGGCAGAAUGAGGAUGCUUCUCGUUAAUUAAAAGGUGGGGAGAAGGAGAAAUCAAAAAAAAAAAAUAAUUUGGUAGUUGUACCAAAAUGCAAGAAGGUUUUUCACCACCUGUAACUGAAGGCUUGUUUUUCCCCUCAAGGUGUAAAGGGAAACUUGGACCUGACGUGACAAAAGACAGAGUGCUGCCUGGCUUUCUUCUUCCCAGUCCCCCAGGAUGAGCAUCCCUGAAGGACAGGAACUGGUUAAAAGCCCAGCUCCCGUGUAGCAGCAGGAUCCACGGCGAGAGCCGUGAAAGAUUGGAACCGUCGGUGCUUCUCGCAGAGCGAUGCUGAAGACGCUGGACGGAGAAGUGGCAAGAAGAAAGCCUGCACCUCAGCUGCAUGGAGAAUAACAGUAACAAGAAAGGACACGCUCUAAAAAUGGGGCCUCGGGACACAGUUUUCUAAUGACAGUAUUCCUGAGCAUCUCAGUUUUGGAGAUUUCUUUUGUGUGUAAAUCACCUGGAUCAACUCUGUGCUGUGAGACUCCAGCAUGGCUGAGAAGUGAUUCUUGCAAGCAGCAGGUAAACUCCAUCAAUUCUGCAGCCCAGGAGUCCUCCUGUUUGUCAUAGCCACCAUAUGUGCAUGGGCAAUGACUGUACUGGGAUCUGCAGGUUGAAUUCAGGUGAUAAUCCA